rnacentral:pre_miRNA from 1 species
UAAAAGUUAAUAUGGAGUUGGAGGAAUGUUUGCCUACGUUUGCCGCUAGGGGCGCUGUUCCAACUGCAUACAAAUUCGAGUUA